rnacentral:tRNA from 1 species
GGUCCCAUAGUGUAGUUGGUUAUCACAUGAGACUCUGAAUCUCAUGACCGGAGUUCGAAUCUCCGUGGGACCU